UACGUAGGGGGCAAGCGUUAUCCGGAUUUACUGGGUGUAAAGGGAGCGUAGACGGCGAUGCAAGCCAGAUGUGAAAGCCCGGGGCUCAACCCCGGGACUGCUUUUGAAACUGAUAUUCUUGAGUGAAGUAGAGGCAAGCGGAAUUCCUAGUGUAGCGGUGAAAUGCGUAGAUAUUAGGAGGAACACCAGUGGCGAAGGCGGCUUGCUGGGCUUUUACUGACGCUGAGGCUCGAAAGCGUGGGGAGCAAACAGG
rnacentral:rRNA from 1 species